CCUACGGGUGGCAGCAGUGAGGAAUAUUGGUCAAUGGGCGCGAGCCUGAACCAGCCAAGUAGCGUGAAGGAUGACUGCCCUACGGGUUGUAAACUUCUUUUAUAAAGGAAUAAAGGGAGGCACGUGUGCCUGUUUGUAUGUACGUUAUGAAUAAGGAUCGGCUAACUCCGUGCCAGCAGCCGCGGUAAGACGGAGGAGCCGAGCGUUAUCCGGAUUUAUUGGGUUUAAAGGGAGCGUAGCUGGGUUUUUAAGUCAGUGGUGAAAGUUUGCGGCUCAACCGGCAAAUUGCAAUUGAUACUGGCAGUCUUGAGUACAGUUGCGGUAUGCGUACUUCGUGGUGUAGCGGUG
rnacentral:rRNA from 1 species